rnacentral:misc_RNA from 1 species
UUUCUGUAGAGCCGGCGUUUUGCCCUGUUGCCCAGGAGUUUUUCCUUUAAUGUUCUCCUGCUACUUACUAAUUCACUUUGUCACCCUGUGAGCUCAUAAGAGCAGAGAGAUAGCAACAGGAGCUAAAAAAACUCUAAGCUGUGAAAAAAUAUUAAAUAUGAAAUCAUGAUAGCUAUUAGCUUAAUUUGUUUUAGGCAAAUUGCAAAGUAAUUUUUUGGGAAUCAGUGUCCCACUGCAGUGAUUCCAUAUGGGGAUUCCUAAUUCCCAGUAUGUUUUUAAAAUAAUUUGUAAACACCUAGUACAAACGCAUGAUAUGAAAUUCAAGAGGUGGGAGGAUCACCUGAGCCCAGGAGGUUGAGACUUGCAGUGAGCUGAGUUCACACCACUGCACUCGAGCCUUGAUGACAGAAUGAGACUGUCUCAAAAAAAAAAAAAAAAAAAAAAAUUGUCCUUAAGUCCAUGUGGACCCCUGACUAGGUUUGUGCCCUAGACAGCCUUCCUCUGAGGGCAGUUCAGGUGGUGAGACUCCAGCUUUAAAUGGCCUCUAGAGAAAUUUCACUAACCUGCCUUGGUGUUUGACCCUGUAUAACCCCUUUCUUCUGGAGGUCCCUUUGGGUGGCAGUAGAUACGGGAUUUGGUGUCUGACAGCUCUGGGGACAGAUCCCAGCUCCAAAUGGCAGAGUCUCUACAGAUUACAAGCCAAAUACUUAGCACUAUGUGCUGAUCUUCAGGAAGUCAGUCUAUAUUUCAUAACAAGUCACAUGGGGAUAAUGAAGGAAUGGCCUAAAAUGCUCUCAGUAAUAUUCCUGAGUCAUCCCUCAGGGCUAGGCUUGGUGUUAGGCAUGGCGGGGAAGGGAGCAGAGCUGUGUGCAGAGGAAGAUGCAGUUCUUGCCUUGUCAGGGUCCCUGACCUGAUGGCGACCCAUGGUGGAGUCUUCAUAGUGACAGACACCACUGUAAAAGCAGAUCCAGGUUGUGCAACCCUCAAAGCAGGUCUCCUCACUCACCGGGAUAGAUAGACUAUUGGCCGUACCUGCAUCCACCGCUUGCCAUGGUUUCGUUGUGGGUGGAGGAUACUUUCCUGUCCCCUGGCUUUGGGUUUGCCCACGUGGCUUGCUCUGGCCUUGGAAUGAAGCAGAAACGAAAGGCUGCCAGUUCCGAGCCCACGUCUGAAGUCGCCUUAGGUGGUUCCGCGGGCCCCGUGCGCUCCCACCUUCACCCAGAGGGCCUUCUCUGGUGCAGCCGCUGCUUCUUCAGCCUCCGCCCAAAAGGAACGGAGCCCCCUGGCCGAUCCGCAGGCCUACAGGGAGCCACAGAGCGCAGCGGCUGGACCAGCGUUCAAGCCCAAGCACAGGCCUGCGAGAACCUUGUUCCAGCCGCCGUUUAGGAUGGUUGAUUAGGACGCGUUGCAGUGGCGGUAGCUCACCAAUCCAGUGCGUGCACCCGCUCCUUUAUUAGGCUAUAGAGCCAGUGGCUCCCACAGGGACCUGAUACAACAGUGCGUUAAAUAAGGAGCAUAUUGAGCUCUCAUGUCGUAAGCCAGUGGAGAAGUCCAGGGCUAGUGUGGGGGCUCCGGCGGGGGCUGUGGCCCCCAUCCGCAUGGAGCCUCCCCAUGGUUCACAGGUCUCAGUCUUCGGAGCCUUCGGCCCUGCGAGCCCGAACAGUCCACAGGGCGGCGCCAGACCCUCUUUCGAACGCCAUCCUCUAAAGCCUCGGCUCCAACCGGUUCCACUUCUUCAGGCUCAGGAUUUUCACUCUUCUCGAAUGGGGGUGGCCCUCCCCCAAUCUUCUGAGUCGCAACAGCAUCUCCCUCCCUCCAGGACCUCAGAGCCAGAGCUGGGCGAGAGGCCCUGACCUCCGGGGUAGGGUGGAAGCGUCCCUGUGAAGGUGCAGUCCUGCCUCCCAUCCCCAGGCGCCGGGCCUCUCCCACCCUCAGCGCCCUGCUCACCUCCAGCUGAAGAUGCCAGGGCACCUCUGCUUCCUCCCUGCCCUCUCUGCAGUACCGCCGAGUGUGCAUAAAAGGGUUUAAUAUAGGCUUUGCCGGGCGCGGGGACUCCCACCUGUAAUCCCAGUACGUUGAGAGACCAAGGCGGGAGGAUCACUUGAGGCCAGGAGUUCAAAACCAGCCUGGGCAACAAAGUGAGGCCCGUCUCUGAAAAAAAAAAAAAAAAAAAAAAAAGAAUAAA